GAAAUUCUUCGGGGUAGGGUGACUUCUUAUCGCUAUAGUAUAAGCAGAAUUCCCAACCGGCGGUUACAGUCCGCGACCUGUCAGAUUUCUGACAGCUGAUUUGGUGCAAUUCCAAAACCGACAGUAAAGUCUGGAUGAGAGAAGAAAAAG
rfam:Coprococcus comes CAG:19 genomic scaffold, scf39